AAAUGGUCAAGAGCACAUAAUAGAAAAAAUCCUUUCUUAUCUGUACAUGUUAUACCACCUGCUCUGGUAUGUCUGAAUACUAAGUCCUAAAGUGCAAAAUUUCUAACCUAGAAGCAGAGGAUUUUGCACAUUUCCUAGCAUCUCUAGCCCAAUAUCAUUUUAUUAAUUUGUAACAGGCCAUCUCAAUCCCUUCUGAGGUCAGGAAUUAUACUACUUAAAUGCUAGAGGUGGAGGCUUGUCUACCUAGACCAUGUGCCCAUGGUGAACCCUUCUUGUUCAUCAUCUCCUGGUGUCUGAUUCUUGAUGCUUUGGAAGUCAGUAGGUCAAGAGCAAAGGUAUUCUGAGCUGAAUGAUGUCAUGCAUGUUCAUUUAGACCUUUUCUCUUUUCAUCUAUAUCUCAUUGUUCAGGCCACUCUCCAGAUGCUGGCACCAUGUUCUUGGACUUCCCAGCCUCUAGAGCUGUGAGCUGAAUACACUUCCAUUCAUUAUAAAUUACCCAGUCUGUGGUAUUCUGGUAUAGCAACAGAAAAUAAACUAAGACAGAGAGCUUAUUCACCAGGCUGAGCACACAAUGGGGAAAUGAGGGCAGCUUCUCUGGAGGACUAGAAACAGAUCAGGCUGUGAUUCUCUUUGGGCAUCUUAGAAGUAGUGCUGCUCAGAGACUAGAUCAAGUGACUGUCCUCUAGGGUCAUUCGGGACUCAGAGUCCGCUGGAUAACAAUACAGCAAUAUCAACAACAACACAGCUAACAUUGACUGCUUAUGUGUCAAGCACUUCUCCCAACAACUGUGUGAGUAGAAUUAUUAUUAUAUCCAUUCUGAGGAUGAGAAAACUGAGGCUCGGAGGAGAUACACCACUUACCUUGGGUGAGUGGCAGAGGCAGGAUUAAAACUCAGUCUGUAAGACUCAGGGCCCUUGAUGUUGGUGUUGUUUUUGGCCCCACACAAUGCACUUGGUGUGGUGAGUUUCUCUUCUCCAUUGACUUCUAGCUUUCCUUAACUCUUAGAAGGACCUUGAGCUUGCUACUUCUCAACUCUCUCACCCACUGUUCUGGACUCUCCUGGCUCCACGGCCUCUCUCCUUAGCUUGGAUACUGAGCCUGGACAUCCCAGAGGGUUGCUCUCUAGGACCCUGGGUCCCUUGCUUCUCUGUCUGUCCCCCACCUGUCCUUUGUUCCUGCAGCCCUGUGCAAGGCACACGGGUGGCCCACGUCCAUGAGAUGCCCUCAUCGCUGGGCCCACACCCCUCUGCCCUCUGUUCUCAUCUCCCUUUCUCAUUCCCAAAAUAUCCACUCUAGACAAUCACUGCUCUUUUCGUCCCCAUAUACCCUCACUCCACCCUCCCUUCACAGUGAGAGAAGAUGACAAUUCAUGGAGAAAGCAGGAAAUGCCCUCCACAUUCCCUCCCUUCCCCAUGGCCCUGGUCUCCCUGCCUCUCUGCCAUGUCUCCUCUCAAGGCCUUUCUUCCUUCCAGCUGUCCUGCAGAACAACUGUGCCUCCUGCCUCCUGCUCAGCCUGGUUUUGCCUGAGUAUUUCCCUCUUCUGCCUUCAAUCUGUCUCUAGCAGCAGUUUCCUCUUCACCUGCAAAUGUGCCUGAUUCUCUCAUCUUAAAGUUGAAUCCCUUGCCCACUGUCUGCCUUAAAUUACAAUCUUAUCUCUCCCUCUGUCACCCCAGCCUCAGUCUGAAUCUCAGCUUUGCCCCUUACCCGUUCUGUGACCUUGAGCAGGUUAUAUGACCUCCCUGUGCCUCCAUUUUUUCAUCUUUAAAAUGGGGCUCAGAGCAUUACCUGCAAUAUAUGGCUGCUAUGAUUAAAAAAAGUUUAAUACAUGCAAAACAGCCAGAAUGAGGGCUGGCAUAUGCUAAGCCAUAACUGAGAACUAGCUACAAUUAUUCUCCUCCCAUGCUCCCUAGACUGUCUUCUUCUGUGAUGGCUAGGCACUGUUUUCCUUCAGGCUUCCCUCUCUCCUAAGACUGAGACUUCUAAGGCUCCUCUGAAGUAACCACCUCCUCCCCACACUCUCUCUAAAGGCUAGUGCUCCUCAGGACUGUCCUUUCCUAACCUUUCUUGCCUCAGCCUUGCUGUAUGUUCUUCCCCAGUGAUCCUGUCCACUCCCAUGACUUUAGCUAAGACAGAUCUGCUGACGAUGACCACAUUUGUUUUUUUCAAAUUCUGACACUUUUAUUGUACAUGCAAUCAUGUUCAUCAUAAAAAAAUGCAAAAUGUAGAUAAGUGCUACCUCCUUCCUGUCCCCACUGUCCCAGCUAUGGUUCUGGUUUACUUUGUCUCAUUUCCUACACAAUCAAAACCUUGCCUGCUGUCCACAGACUUCUUCCUAAACACAAAGUCUGAUCUCGUGGCUUUGCGUAAGGAUUGAGGUAUUGUGGCUCUUAUAAUCUGCUGCAAUUUAUUUCCCCAACAUCAAUAUCCCAUCUCUCCCUCCUAUGUCCCAUACUUGUUUCAAGGCAACCUCAAGGCUUCCCGAGUCCCCCAUUCCUUUUCACAACUCCAUGCUUUUGCACAUAGUGUUCUCCCACGUGGUAUUCUUUCUUCUUAACUCUUUGCAUGGUUCACACUCCCUCUCUUUCUUUUGAACCCAGUUUACUUUACUUUAGCUGCAAAGACUUUCCCAACACCCCCAAGUAAAAUUUGCUGCCCCUUUUUCUGUUUUCUACAAGUUUUGGUUCAUACUUCCAAUACUUUGCACUCAUCUAUGGGCAUCUUGAGGGCAGGGAUGAGGUUUUAUUUGUCACUGUAGCUCUAGUGCCUGUUGUGGGCCUGGUGCAGCUGGUGUCUGGCCCAUGCCUAGUGAACGAAUGAGUGAACUCUUGAUUUCAUGCUGCUGACAUGAAAGCUUAGAAAGGCAUGACAUUAACAUAUACCUAAAAAAGACAGAGGUUUGAACCAUAAAUGCAGAUUUCUUUUUCUUUAGAAGAAAAUAUAAUUUUGAAACAUUUGAAAAUAACUAGCCUAUAAAGCCACUUAAACAGGGAAAAGCAAGUUCCCCAUUUAUGUGAAUGUAUCUGAGAGCAUCACUACCAUCCCCAACCCUAUUGAUGAGAAAAAUCUUCCAUGGUAAUAUUUAUCCCUUGCAUGAAGUUGUGUGUUUCUUCAAAGAUCUCUAUAUUUGUAAUCUCAUUUGAUCUUCAUAACCUCCCCAUGACAGACUGCAAAAAUGGUCUCAAUUCUCCAUGCCCCCUUGCAUCCAAGCCCAUACAAAGAGCCUUGUAGCAUUUCUUAUCAAGAGGUGUAAUCUAUUUUCCCAUCCCUUGGAUCUGGGCUGACCUUGUGAUUUGCUGUGACCAGUAGAAUAUGGCAGAAGUGACAUUUUCUUUUCUAGUCCUGAGUCUAGUCCCCAAAGGCCUUGCAGCUUCUGCUUUCUCUGUUGGACACCUGUGACUACCAUGUAAAUAAGUUUGGGCCAGCCUCCUGAAGAAUGAAAGACCACAUGGAGCAGAGCUGAGUCAGCUGAUUCAUCACAGCCAAGACCUCUGAUCCUUGAGCAAGCUGAGCAAAGCCAACUGGUAGCUGACCUUCUAGCUGCCCACAGACACAUGAGCAAGGCCAUCCUAGACCAGCCAGCCCCCAGAAACCUUCAGUUCCUAAGCUAAAUAAAUUGUAGUUUUAAGCCAACAUGUUUGAGGUGAUUUGUUACACAGCUCUAGCUAACUGAUACACUCUGUGAGAGAAAAGGACAGGAGUAAUAAUUAUCUCCAUUGUUGGAAUGAGGAAUCAGAGGCUUGAGGAGGCAAAGCUUCAGUUCCUAAUUCAAUGCUAUGUCUAUAACAUUGGUGGUUUUCAAUAAUUGGUUGGACACAGAGUUCUACCUUCAGGCAAAAUUGUAUGUAUUCCAAUAUGGAAAGCCAGUCAAAAGAGUACCUAUACUGUUGAAGGUGGCAUAGGGCCCUAGAACCCUGUACCUUUCUUACUCCUUGGCUCUUUUCUGCAGGGUGGUCCCUGGGGGGCCCUGGAUCAACGCAGUUCGACAACACUACAUUUAUACCACCAGUCAACCACUCCCAAAAUAUACAUGGAGUAGCUACUGUAUGCUUAGGCUUGGCCUUGAGACAGUGGGUGGCAUUAAGGGCAAGAAGAAUGUGUGGUUUAUGGUCUGCAAUAACCAAAAUCAAGAUGGAGAAAAACAAGUCAACAAUUAUGAAGUCAUAACGAACCACAUGAAAAUGGUGACAUGGUUACCUGGGAUCUGCAAUUUCCUGAAUAAAUGGAUCCAGACCCACUUCCAUGGUCGGUGUGGACAGAGCUCCUCCUUGCUUCAUCUUUCUGAGGAUAGAUAUCACUGGUGAUGUGUACAUUUCAGGACUUGAAGGAGGCCAAGUGGUGGCUAUUUAUAGGAGGCUGUAGAAAAGCUUGGACACAUGGCCUAGGAUGUUCAUAUGCAUAUGCCCAGGUCUCAUAAAAUGUAGGAUGGAGCCAAGCGUGGGAAGAGAGGAGAGGUAUAGGCCAGAGGCCUCCAGCUUUGCUACAGAAAGCUGAGAAUUCUGAGAAUUUGAAAUUCAAACUUUGCUUUUCGGUUGAUGAAAAGGUACAUUUGUCAAUGAAGGAGGAAGAAACGUAUUUGACAUUUGUUAUCUUGAUUUAUAACUCUUGCAUAUUUACCCAUAUGGUAUAUGUCAGCUUCCAUAUGUACUUGUGCCCUAGGUAUGCAAAUGUUAGGAGAGGGUCUGUGCAAAGGGCAGAGGCAGUGUGUGUUGUUGGUCUAUUGUGUCAACCUGCAGAGAGCUGAGUCUUUCUCCAGCCCUCUCCCUUGAGGGUGGGACGGUUUUUGUAGGGUGGUACUGCUUUCAACUUUAACUCCACUCCCAAACCACCUCAGCUCAAGAGUCAGCAAUGGCUGCUCCAGUCUAUAGGAAGAACCCUGAAGACCUAUGGGAUAUUCUGGACCUAAUCUACUGUCUUUAACCUACCUCUCACCACUAUCCUCUUCUCUUCCAUGAACCUUCUGUCUGGUAGCACAAGCCCCUUCACUACUUCUCCAUGCUCCUUCUCCCCAUAACUCCCCUACAUUACACACACAUGCAUACACAAGCACACAUGCAUAUAGGUGCACAUACACACAUGCACGUGCAGGCAAGCAGGUUCCUUCCUGUCAAUUGACUCAUGACACUAAUUCUGUCUCAAAUACCAUUCGCUCUUCUCUCCAUCCCAUCCAAAUCCUACCCAUUUAAAAAGAUCUAGUUUAACUUCCUAAACUUUGUUUAUUCAUUAAUUCAUACGAUGACUAGUAAUUGACACUGUACUAAGCCCUAGCUUACAGCCAUGUGAAUACAUAUUUUUCUCUAAUCCAGUUUGCCUUGAUCUCUAUUUUCUGAACAUCUAUAUCAUAUGUCAUUUCUACUUAAUUUUAAUAAGGUUUCAACACUGUUGUCUAAAUUUUCCCAGUUGUAGAUUUUGUCUUAAACUAGAUGAUAUAUUUUUGAUGAGCAGGAACUCUGUGCUGGGCCAUGUUUACAUUUUACUCAUUGGCCUACAGAAUUUAGUGGCAUAAAGUUGAUAUGUAGAAAAGGGCCAUUGAUUAAGUGAUAGGCAGAUUGAUGGAGGGAUCAAUUGAUUUGCUGCCAAGCCACAUCCCAUGUAAGGGAAUUUUCAGAGUAUGGGUGGUCUGGCUUCCAUUCUUUCUCUGCCAUUUUUAAUGAAUUGUUUCUAAUGUAUUAUGGAUGUAUAAUGCCUGAAUUCAUUUCAGCCCCUUUGAACAUAUUGAUAUUUUGGCCUGAAGUCUUAGUAAGAAUGAUUUCUGUAUUAUGACUUUGAGUUUUUAUUUGUAACUUAUAACAAAUUACUCUUGUAGAAAAUCUUUUGUUGAAAUAAAUUCAGUUAUUUAUUAUUUCUUAUUAUUUCCAUAUGACAUUUGGUUUGCUUUUCUAACAUCUCUAACAUCUCUUCUGGUGGGGCUGGAAUCCCUGUUUCUAUCUCUCUUCUUUCAAGAAAGAAGCUUAUAUUGAAGCAGUAUUUCUCAAAAGUAUGGAGCCUGGGUCAGUGCCAUAAGCAUCAUCUAGAAACCUGCUAGAAAUGCAGUUAUCAGGACCCAGUCCAGACCUAUCAAUCAUUUCAACAAGCCUUCUAGGUGAUUCUGAUGCAUGCUAAAAUUUGUGAAUCAAUCUAUUAGUUGAAAGAACACUGAGCUGGCAGUGUAGACCCUGAAUUUUGGCUCUGGCUAUGUUAUUAAAGGCUGUGUGACUCACUCUGAGUCUUGGUUUCCUUGUGCCCAUUUUUCUGUCUGUCUUGGUGUUUUGGGGGAUAAAGGCGGACUAUUCUCCACUUGGUUUUUUAACUGCCAACAUGGUGACAAUAACAAUGAUGCUUCAUAAGGUCGUCUUAACGAUCAAAUAAUUUAUUACGUACUCAUCCUUAUAGAAUUUUUUUUUAAACCUCUCAGAAUAAAGGGAGCCCAGGCUUUCAUUAUUUUACAUUGGGUUGCACAAUCGAGAAAUCUUGAUUUCCACCAUUUGUAAGUGUUACAGCCCAGUGGGGAAUGCACACACACUUGCCCAUAGAAUGAGUAUACCUGAAGUGCCCCAAUAAGUGGUAUAUACGAUGACAAUAACCUCAGAAGAGGAAGCAGCUUCUGAGAGCUGGAGUGGUCACACUGAGAAGGUUGCAUCUCAAAGAUGAGUUCUGGAUUGAGACUUAAAGAUAGGUUACAGAUAGAUGAAUAGUGAGGAGGGGCACUCCUGGUCAGCUCAGGCAGGUGAAUGCCAGGGUUAAACAUGGCAGUCUAAAAUGGGGGUGUAAAGUGAAGACAAUGAGUAGAUCAAUUGCCAGGAAUGGGGUAUGUGUUGAGAGAUUUAGUGGAAGAUAACUUGGAAAAGAUGUUGGGACUAGGUGUUGAGGGUCUUGACAGAAGGCAAAAGAACCUGGAAACUCCAAGAGAGAACACUAGCAUAAGAGGUCAGUGGUUAUGUUUUAGAUGUCUUCAGGGUCAGUAGGAUAUUUACGUGGUGAUUUGUUGGGGGCAUCUUAUCACAUGCUUUUAGGAAAGAAGACGGAAGGUAGUUCUGAACCCUUGAAUUCUAUUUUGGGAAUUGCCUUGGCUGGCUCAAUGGAGCCAGUCUAAAUGCAUAUGUGUUAAUUAACUCUGAACAGCUUUAAAGACUGACCUAAUCACAAAGUUUCAGAUACCCCAGAGGAAAGGAAACAAGUUGAUCAUAGCGGUAGCUCUCAGUUCUGGCUAUAUAUUAGAAUCACUGGGGAGCUUUAAAAAAAUCCAUAUCUGGACUCUACCCCAGAGAUUUUGGUUUAAUUGGUCCAGGAUGGGGUCUAUGCACUGUUUUAAAAGCUCCCCAGGUGGAUCUAAUGUGCAGCCAGGGAGUGAACCACUGCCCCUGGAGGAGCAAGCAGGUAUAACUGUAGGUACAGAUAAUGUUCAACCAACCCUAUCAAUCAACCCAUAUUAUAUUUUACUCAAUGAGAAAAUGUUUCUGUUGUUUCAGACAUCAGUUUUCUCUGAUUUUUGGUGGCUCUUCAAGUAAUGGAUCAGACUGCCGUUGUCUUGGCAGGCUGGGGAGUCUGGCAGAUAUGAGUGAUCUUGGCUGGUAUAAUAAAAAAAUAUGGACCCAGAGAAGAAAACAUAAGAUGUGGGCCCCGUUGAGCGGAGCAGUGGAAAGGCCAUCUUAAGACUUCUGUGUAAUGCUCAGCAAGGAGUCAGGAGCUACGGACUAGGACCAUUACUUUAAAGACGUUGUCUGAUUUCUUAGAAUUUUAUAAUGAUCACGUUUAUUUUUAAUACUCCCUUCUGUAG
rnacentral:lncRNA from 1 species